rnacentral:tRNA from 1 species
GGGGAGAUAGCUCAGUGGUAAAGCACUUGCUUAGCUUGCAUGAGGCCCUGGGUUCAAUCCCCAUCACCACA